CCUACGGGUGGCUGCAGUAACGAAUCUUCCGCAAUGCACGCAAGUGUGACGGAGCGACGCCGCGUGUGGGACGAAGCCCUUCGGGGUGUAAACCACUGUCAGGGGUUAGAAAGUUCUGAUCAACCCCAGAGGAAGGCACGGCUAACUCUGUGCCAGCAGCCGCGGUAAGACAGAGGUGCCGAGCGUUAGGCGGAAUCACUGGGCUUAAAGCGUGUGUAGGCGGACCGUUAAGUACCUUGUGAAAUCCCCCGGCUCAACCGGGGAACGGCUGGGUAUACUGGCGGUCUUGAGCCAUCCAGGGGCAGUCGGAACAGACGGUGGAGCGGUGAAAUGCGUAGAUAUCGUCUGGAACGCCGAAGGUGAAAACAGACUGCUGGGGAUGCGCUGACGCUGAGACACGAAAGCCAGGGGAGCGAACGGGAUUAGAUACCCUGGUAGUC
rnacentral:rRNA from 1 species